GGAAGCUCAGUGGCAGAGAAUUUGCUUUGCCUGCAAAAGGUCACAGGUUCAAUCCCUGGCAUCUCCA